rnacentral:rRNA from 1 species
CUACGGGAUGCUGCAGUAAGGAAUAUUGGUCAAUGGGCGCAAGCCUGAACCAGCCAUGCCGCGUGCAGGAUGACUGCCCUAUGGGUUGUAAACUGCUUCUAUAUGGGAAAAAAUACAGGGACGUGUCCUUGUUUGAUUGUACCAUACGAAUAAGGAUUGGCUAACUCCGUGCCAGCAGCCGCGGUAAUACGGAGGAUCCAAGCGUUAUCCGGAUUUAUUGGGUUUAAAGGGUGCGCAGGCUGAGAAAUAAGUCAGUGGUGAAAUCCUAUGGCUCAACCAUAGAACUGCCAUUGAAACUAUUUCACUAGAGUGCAGUUGAAGUGGGCGGAAUGUGUCAUGUAGCGGUGAAAUGCAUAGAUAUGACACAGAACACCGAUCGCGAAGGCAGCUCACUAAGCUGUAACUGACGCUCAUGCACGAAAGCGUGGGUAGCGAACAGGAUUAGAUACCCGCGUAGUC